rnacentral:lncRNA from 1 species
GGAAUUCAUAAUGUCACUGUUAGUCAGUACACAAAGUGCUUCAAUAUUUUUGUUUCUUUUGCUAUAUAAAAACGUGCCCCUGCUUAUAUUGUUUCCUAACUAGCAUUAAAUAUAUCCAGUUAAGUAUGUAUGAAUGAUGCUUUCUUGUAAUUUCUUCAAUUUAACUCUAGCAGUUUAAGAAGCUCGGGAAUGAUCUUGGACACUGCAGCAGGAAAACACAGGAAUUGAAGUUGUGCAAGAGAAGAAAAGACCAAGCCAGUCACUCCACAGUUUUUUUUGUAGAGCCAAGAACAAUACUUGCUCUAUUUUAAAAAGAAAUAUGUACCUGUAAAGAUAUUCUGUUUGGAAACACAGAGAGUUUCUCAGAAACCUGCACUCAGACAACCAAGAUGACUGGUUCUGCCCCCUAGAACAAAAUGGGUAUAAUUCUUGAACAACUGGCCAAGUUCUAACACAGGAUACAGAAGUGUUUAAUUGUUGGAAAUCUGCCCACUCAGCUCCAAGGACUAGAAAUAAUGGAAUCAAGCUUCCCACAAGGAAAACCUUAUUUCCCUUUCCAAAAGCUCUUAGUCCCUUGAAGCAGGAAGACAUGCCAGAAGUAAAUAAUCUGAAGUUGAAGACAUCCAUAGAAAAAGACUCUGCUUUGAUUUUCAUGUUCUCAAGAGGAAGAAGGGACAUGUGAUCUGCUUAAAGAUCUCAUUAACUCUUAAUUGUAGACUGAUAAAACCAAAACCUCUAUGUGGUAGUCCAGGCUGAGUUAUUUUGGGAAUUAUUGGUUAAUCUCACU